rnacentral:lncRNA from 1 species
UUCCCUAGUGGAAAUUGGGAUGAACCUACGAAGGAAGAAGUUAAUGAACCAGCUGAUAUAGCUGAAGCAAAGACUGUCAGUGAUUCAGAGGAAGCAAAACCUAAUGCUAAGAGAAAACAGCCUGAGAAGGAAGCUUCUGAGAAGGAAGCUUCAAAGAAGGUUCGCCUUGGUCAUUUUGUACUUUGUUUGCUCCCUAUUUCAUACUAGCAAAAUAGCACGUGUUGCUUGCUAAAAGAAAGUAGAAAAAUAAAUAUGUUAUCAAUAAGAGUAAAUAUUUGAAGUUUCAUUCUGUUUAGGCUGUAUUAUGAGAAAAGAAAGGUUUGAGUUUAGAUUGCAAAGGGUUUGAGAUUUAAAGAAUUAUUACUUUGACAGACUUUUGAAUUUCAAACUUGUCCCUAGUUAAAUGUUCUAUGGUUUAAUUCAUUUUAGUAUGCCUAGGGUUUUCCUUGACUUUGUUGGUACAACUUUAGGAUUGAAGCUACUUUAGGUUGGCUUUAUUAUAUAGAGAAAUUAUCUCAGUGGAGAUGCUAGUUCUACUUUCUUAUUUGCUUUGCGUAUUUUGUGAUACUUGGAGAUUCAUAUCCUUUUAGCACUGCCAUGUGAUGCACUACUUACGUUUCGAUAAUAUUGAUUCUCUGGAUGUUGUGCUGACUGUGUUCUCACAUCUUUGGUUCACUGGGUUGUAAUUAAAUGAGAUGGAAAAGUGACAAAAUUGAGACAUAUUGAUAAUGGUCAUAUAUGCUUGCAUCUCUUAAUUAUCUUACUUUCUCUGGGUUUAAGCUACACAAUCAAUGAAAGGGAUUGUAUUUAAAACCUGCCAAGUUGCUGCCUGCAAUGUCUUUUAUCAUAUCUGAAAUUUUAUGCAUGAAAGUGUUAAAUCUUAAAAUUGACCUUCUUCCUCUUCUGGCAAUUGUUUUCAGGAACCAAACAAACCACCCGAUAGUUGGUUUGAUUUGAAGGUUAACACACAUGUGUAUGUAACUGGGUUGCCUGAGGAUGUCACUAUGGAGGAAGUAAGUGAAUG